rnacentral:rRNA from 1 species
GACGACGGGUAGCCGGCCUGAGAGGGCGACCGGCCACACUGGGACUGAGACACGGCCCAGACUCCUACGGGAGGCAGCAGUGGGGAAUAUUGCACAAUGGGCGAAAGCCUGAUGCAGCGACGCCGCGUGAGGGAUGACGGCCUUCGGGUUGUAAACCUCUUUCAGCAGGGAAGAAGCGAAAGUGACGGUACCUGCAGAAGAAGCGCCGGCUAACUACGUGCCAGCAGCCGCGGUAAUACGUAGGGCGCAAGCGUUGUCCGGAAUUAUUGGGCGUAAAGAGCUCGUAGGCGGCUUGUCACGUCUGGUGUGAAAGCCCGGGGCUUAACCCCGGGUCUGCAUCCGAUACGGGCAGGCUAGAGUGUGGUAGGGGAGAUCGGAAUUCCUGGUGUAGCGGUGAAAUGCGCAGAUAUCAGGAGGAACACCGGUGGCGAAGGCGGAUCUCUGGGCCAUUACUGACGCUGAGGAGCGAAAGCGUGGGGAGCGAACAGGAUUAGAUACCCUGGUAGUCCACGCCGUAAACGUUGGGAACUAGGUGUGGGCGACAUUCCACGUCUUCGGUGCCGCAGCUAACGCAUUAAGUUGCCCCCC